rnacentral:rRNA from 1 species
CAAUAGCGUAUAUUAAAGUUGUUGCAGUUAAAAAGCUCGUAGUUGGAUUUCUGGUGGGAGCGAUCGGUCUGGCGCUUAGCGCGAGUACUUGCAUCGUCUCCGGCCAUCCUUGGGGAGAGUCUGUCUGGCAUUAAGUUGUCGGGCAGAGGAUCCUCAUCGUUUACUGUGAAAAAAUUAGAGUGUUCAAAGCAGGCUUAUGCCGUUGAACAUAUUAGCAUGGAAUAAUAAGAUAGGACUUUGGUACUAUUUUGUUGGUUUGCGCACCAAAGUAAUGAUUAAUAGGGACAGUUGGGGGUAUUCGUAUUCCGUUGUCAGAGGUGAAAUUCUUGGAUUUACGGAAGACGAACUACUGCGAAAGCAUUUACCAAGGAUGUUUUCAUUAA